rnacentral:tRNA from 1 species
GGCAGCAUAGCAUAAUGGUUAGUGCAGAGGAUUCAUAUCCCUCAGAUCUUAGUUCAAUUCUAAGUGCUGCUA